UACGUAGGGGGCAAGCGUUGUCCGGAUUUAUUGGGCGUAAAGAGCGUGUAGGCGGCCUGAAAGGUCAGCUGUGAAAACUCGAGGCUCAACCUCGAGACGUCGGUUGAAACCAUCUGGCUAGAGUCCGGAAGAGGAGAGUGGAAUUCCCGGUGUAGCGGUGAAAUGCGCAGAUAUCGGGAAGAACACCCGUGGCGAAGGCGGCUCUCUGGGACGGUACUGACGCUGAGACACGAAAGCGUGGGGAGCGAACAGG
rnacentral:rRNA from 1 species